rnacentral:rRNA from 1 species
UACGUAGGGGGCAAGCGUUGUCCGGAAUCAUUGGGCGUAAAGAGCGCGUAGGCGGUCCGGUAAGUCCGCUGUGAAAGUCAAGGGCUCAACCCUUGAAUGCCGGUGGAUACUGUCGGGCUAGAGUCCGGAAGAGGCGAGUGGAAUUCCUGGUGUAGCGGUGAAAUGCGCAGAUAUCGGGAGGAACACCGGUGGCGAAGGCGGCGACCUGGGUCGAUACUGACGCUGAGGUGCGAAAGCGUGGGGGACGCAAACAGG